UGUGUGUGUGUUGGGCGGGGUUGGUGAUGCAUUGAAAAAGAACUUAGAUCUUUUUCUGCCAAACUGGUUUUGUGGACUCUGGUUGUGGGAGUUGCCCUCCUCCCUCCUGCCUGAAUAUCUCCCCCACUCUCUCUCUGUCAGCCUCAGUGUGUCUUCACCUCCUCCUCACCCGUCUCUCUGACAGUCUCUCCCUCCUCGGCUAGAAGCAGAAGUCUCAACCGACGGCAAAAAUGUUUAAAGUGAAUUCUUUUAUCAGAGGCAUCGUUAAUGUCGUGAGCAACAUCGACCCCGCUCAGUUUAUUCCUUCAGACCCACCUCCACCUCGCAGACCCCUGAACUUCGCCGAGUCUCACGAGAGCGAUGAGGAGAAACAGUUUCGGAGAGUUUUCAAACAGCUGGCUGGAGACGUGAGUCCGAAACAUUCACCUUUA